rnacentral:rRNA from 1 species
CCUACGGGAGGCAGCAGUAGGGAAUCUUCCACAAUGGGCGAAAGCCUGAUGGAGCAACGCCGCGUGAGUGAUGAAGGCCUUCGGGUUGUAAAACUCUGUCAUUCGGGACGAACCGGAGUCUGAGGAAAUGCAGACUCUCUGACGGUACCGGAGGAGGAAGCCCCGGCUAACUACGUGCCAGCAGCCGCGGUAAUACGUAGGGGGCAAGCGUUGUCCGGAUUCACUGGGCGUAAAGCGCGCGCAGGCGGUGAUGUAAGUCUGAGGUGAAAACCCGAAGCUCAACUUCGGGACUGCCUUGGAUACUGCGUCACUUGAGGAUAGGAGAGGCAAGGGGAAUUCCACGUGUAGCGGUGAAAUGCGUAGAGAUGUGGAGGAACACCUGUGGCGAAGGCGCCUUGCUGGCCUAUUCUGACGCUGAGGCGCGAAAGCGUGGGGAGCAAACAGGAUUAGAUACCCUGGUAGUCCACGCUGUAAACGAUGAGUGCUAGGUGUAGGUGGGCUCAUACCACUCUGUGCCGACGACGUAACGACAUAAGACACUCCGCCCGUCGGGGUAGGUACGGUCGGCGAACGACGUACGAAACGUACGAAAGGAAAGUUAGACGGCGUUGAGACGNGCCGACGGACGACGACGAGGGAGGUUAGG